rnacentral:tRNA from 1 species
GGGGCUGGUUGGGUUGCUGGUGCACUCCGCGGUCUUCAAAACCGUCCUGGGAGGCGCGUGCCGUCUCCGGUGGGUUCGAUUCCCACACAGUCCCGCCA